rnacentral:rRNA from 1 species
UUCCGGUUGAUCCUGCCGGAGGCCAUUGCUCUUGGGGUCCGAUUUAGCCAUGCUAGUCGCACGGGCUCAGACCCGUGGCAAAUAGCUCAGUAGCACGUGGCCAAUCUACCCUCCGGAAUGGAAUACCCUCGGGAAACUGAGGUUAAUCCCGUAUACGGCUCCCACUCUUGAAUGACGGGAGUCCGAAAUGCUCCGGCGCCGGAGGAUGAGGCUGCGGCCGAUUAGGUUGACGGUGGGGUAACGGCCCACCGUGCCAAUAAUCGGUCUGGGUCAUGAGAGUGAGAACCCAGAGACGGACUCUGAGACAAGAGUCCGGGCCCUACGGGGCGCAGCAGGCGCGAAACCUUUACACUGCACGUCAGUGCGAUAAGGGGACCCCAAGUGCGCAGGCAUAGUGCCUGCGCUUUUCUGGACUGUAGGGCGGUCCAGGAACAAGGGCUGGGCAAGACCGGUGCCAGCCGCCGCG